rnacentral:rRNA from 1 species
AACGAACGCUGGCGGCAGGCUUAACACAUGCAAGUCGAGCGCACUCUUCGGAGUGAGCGGCGGACGGGUUAGUAACGCGUGGGAAUGUACCCAGAUCUAAGGAAUAGCCUCGGGAAACUGAGAGUAAUACCUUAUACGCCCUUCGGGGGAAAGAUUUAUCGGAUUUGGAUCAGCCCGCGUUAGAUUAGAUAGUUGGUGGGGUAAUGGCCUACCAAGUCUACGAUCUAUAGCUGGUUUUAGAGGAUGAUCAGCAACACUGGGACUGAGACACGGCCCAGACUCCUACGGGAGGCAGCAGUGGGGAAUCUUGGACAAUGGGCGAAAGCCUGAUCCAGCCAUGCCGCGUGAGUGAUGAAGGCCUUAGGGUCGUAAAGCUCUUUCGCCAGGGAUGAUAAUGACAGUACC